GGGUUGUGAGGUUAAGCGACUAAGCGUACACGGUGGAUGCCCUGGCAGUCAGAGGCGAUGAAGGACGUGCUAAUCUGCGAUAAGCGUCGGUAAGGUGAUAUGAACCGUUAUAACCGGCGAUUUCCGAAUGGGGAAACCCAGUGUGUUUCGACACACUAUCAUUAACUGAAUCCAUAGGUUAAUGAGGCGAACCGGGGGAACUGAAACAUCUAAGUACCCCGAGGAAAAGAAAUCAACCGAGAUUCCCCCAGUAGCGGCGAGCGAACGGGGAGGAGCCCAGAGCCUGAAUCAGUGUGUGUGUUAGUGGAAGCGUCUGGAAAGGCGCGCGAUACAGGGUGACAGCCCCGUACACAAAAAUGCACAUAUUGUGAGCUCGAUGAGUAGGGCGGGACACGUGGUAUCCUGUCUGAAUAUGGGGGGACCAUCCUCCAAGGCUAAAUACUCCUGACUGACCGAUAGUGAACCAGUACCGUGAGGGAAAGGCGAAAAGAACCCCGGCGAGGGGAGUGAAAAAGAACCUGAAACCGUGUACGUACAAGCAGUGGGAGCACGCUUAGGCGUGUGACUGCGUACCUUUUGUAUAAUGGGUCAGCGACUUAUAUUCUGUAGCAAGGUUAACCGAAUAGGGGAGCCGAAGGGAAACCGAGUCUUAACUGGGCGUUAAGUUGCAGGGUAUAGACCCGAAACCCGGUGAUCUAGCCAUGGGCAGGUUGAAGGUUGGGUAACACUAACUGGAGGACCGAACCGACUAAUGUUGAAAAAUUAGCGGAUGACUUGUGGCUGGGGGUGAAAGGCCAAUCAAACCGGGAGAUAGCUGGUUCUCCCCGAAAGCUAUUUAGGUAGCGCCUCGUGAAUUCAUCUCCGGGGGUAGAGCACUGUUUCGGCAAGGGGGUCAUCCCGACUUACCAACCCGAUGCAAACUGCGAAUACCGGAGAAUGUUAUCACGGGAGACACACGGCGGGUGCUAACGUCCGUCGUGAAGAGGGAAACAACCCAGACCGCCAGCUAAGGUCCCAAAGUCAUGGUUAAGUGGGAAACGAUGUGGGAAGGCCCAGACAGCCAGGAUGUUGGCUUAGAAGCAGCCAUCAUUUAAAGAAAGCGUAAUAGCUCACUGGUCGAGUCGGCCUGCGCGGAAGAUGUAACGGGGCUAAACCAUGCACCGAAGCUGCGGCAGCGACGCUGAUGCGUUGUUGGGUAGGGGAGCGUUCUGUAAGCCUGCGAAGGUGUGCUGUGAGGCAUGCUGGAGGUAUCAGAAGUGCGAAUGCUGACAUAAGUAACGAUAAAGCGGGUGAAAAGCCCGCUCGCCGGAAGACCAAGGGUUCCUGUCCAACGUUAAUCGGGGCAGGGUGAGUCGACCCCUAAGGCGAGGCCGAAAGGCGUAGUCGAUGGGAAACAGGUUAAUAUUCCUGUACUUGGUGUUACUGCGAAGGGGGGACGGAGAAGGCUAUGUUGGCCGGGCGACGGUUGUCCCGGUUUAAGCGUGUAGGCUGGUUUUCCAGGCAAAUCCGGAAAAUCAAGGCUGAGGCGUGAUGACGAGGCACUACGGUGCUGAAGCAACAAAUGCCCUGCUUCCAGGAAAAGCCUCUAAGCAUCAGGUAACAUCAAAUCGUACCCCAAACCGACACAGGUGGUCAGGUAGAGAAUACCAAGGCGCUUGAGAGAACUCGGGUGAAGGAACUAGGCAAAAUGGUGCCGUAACUUCGGGAGAA
rnacentral:rRNA from 1 species